GAUGAAGAACGUAGCGAAAUGUGAUACGUAGUGUGAAUUGCAGAAUUCAGUGAAUCAUCGAAUCUUUGAACGCACAUUGCACCUCUCGGUAUUCCGGGAGGUAUGCCUGUUCGAGCGUCAUUUGUACCCUCAAGCUCUGCUUGGUGUUGGGUGUUUGUUCCGCCUCUGUGUGUGAACUCGCCUCAAAACAAUUGGCAGCCGGCGUACUUGUUUCGGAGCGCAGCACAUUUUGCGAUCCAGAUCAACGUACAGCGGCAUCCAAGAAGCCUUAUUUAACGCUCUUGACCUCGGAUCAGGUAGGGAUACCCGCUGAACUUAAGCAUAUCGAUAAGCGGAGGA
rnacentral:misc_RNA from 1 species